rnacentral:rRNA from 1 species
AUGGAGGAAAAAUCGAGCGAGGUUCCGCUAGUUUCGGCUGAGUGUGCUACAAACACAAUAAAUGGUACAAUAUCAUUCAGAGUUCCUCAGGUGGUGAAAGGCGCAAAGCGUAAACGGGCAACCAUCUCCCUUGAAAAAAGAAAGGGAAGAAAAAUAAAAGUGCUAAAAAGAAAGGUGUCGAUCCUACCCAUUCUAGCAAGCCUUUUCCAUUCUAUACUUCUAUUGUUAAUCCUUUUACUUUUCUUUCAAUUCAUAUGUCUGACUUUAGGAGAAAAUCGAAAAAAUGUAGUACAGAAUAGGGAUGGCGGCAUUGAUCCGAAGGAAAUGAUGGAUGUGAAUGCUGGUAGUAUUGACAUUACUAAUACCAUGCCAAAAUUUUCAAAUGAUGUCUAUGGGCGAGGGCGAUCUUUGAUCAUGGCUGCACCGUUGAUCCAAGGCAGAUACGCUAAUGCCACAAUGCUAACCUUUGCAAAUGAUGUGUAUGGGCAACCUUCAACCAUGUCUGCUCCAUCUAUCCAAGGCGGAUUUACAAGUCUUUUACUUGGGGUUGAGCAGGAUGCCACAUUGUCCUCGGCUGUUAGAAAGUUACCUUUUGAUGAUUAG